rnacentral:rRNA from 1 species
AUUGAACGCUGGCGGCAUGCUUUACACAUGCAAGUCGAACGGCAGCGCGGGCUUCGGCCUGGCGGCGAGUGGCGAACGGGUGAGUAAUACAUCGGAACGUGCCCAGUAGUGGGGGAUAGGUCGGCGACAGCCGGAUUAAUACCGCAUACGACCUGAGGGUGAAAGCGGGGGAUCUUCGGACCUCGCGCUAUUGGAGCGGCCGAUGGCAGAUUAGCUAGUUGGUGGGGUAAAGGCCUACCAAGGCGACGAUCUGUAGCUGGUCUGAGAGGACGACCAGCCACACUGGGACUGAGACACGGCCCAGACUCCUACGGGAGGCAGCAGUGGGGAAUUUUGGACAAUGGGCGAAAGCCUGAUCCAGCAAUGCCGCGUGUGUGAUGAAGGCCUUCGGGUUGUAAAGCACUUUUGGCGGGAACGAAAAGGACUGUGCCAAUACCACGGUUCGAUGACGGUACCCGCAGAAUAAGCACCGGCUAACUACGUG